CCUACGGGAGGCAGCAGUGGGGAAUAUUGCACAAUGGGCGCAAGCCUGAUGCAGCCAUGCCGCGUGUAUGAAGAAGGCCUUCGGGUUGUAAAGUACUUUCAGCGGGGAGGAAGGCGAUAAGGUUAAUAACCUUGUCGAUUGACGUUACCCGCAGAAGAAGCACCGGCUAACUCCGUGCCAGCAGCCGCGGUAAUACGGAGGGUGCAAGCGUUAAUCGGAAUUACUGGGCGUAAAGCGCACGCAGGCGGUCUGUCAAGUCGGAUGUGAAAUCCCCGGGCUCAACCUGGGAACUGCAUUCGAAACUGGCAGGCUGGAGUCUUGUAGAGGGGGGUAGAAUUCCAGGUGUAGCGGUGAAAUGCGUAGAGAUCUGGAGGAAUACCGGUGGCGAAGGCGGCCCCCUGGACAAAGACUGACGCUCAGGUGCGAAAGCGUGGGGAGC
rnacentral:rRNA from 1 species